CCUACGGGAGGCUGCAGUGAGGAAUAUUGGUCAAUGGGCGCGAGCCUUAACCAGCCAAGUAGCGUGAAGGAUGACUGCCCUACGGUUUGUAAGCUUCUUGUAUAAAGGAAUACAGUUAGGCACGUGUGCCUUUUUGUAUGUACUUUAUGAAUAAGGAUCGGCUAACUCCGUGCCAGCAGCCGCGGUAUUACGGAGGAUCCGAGUGUUAUCCGGAUUUGUUGGGUUUAAAGGGAGCGUAGAUGGGUUGUUAAGUAAGUUGUGAAAGUUUGCGGCUCAACCGUAAAAUUGCAAUUGAUACUGGCAGUCUUGAGUACAGUUGAGGUAGGUGGAAUUCGUGGUGUAGCGGUGAAAUGCUUAGAUAUCACGAAGAACUCCGAUUGCGAAGGCAGCUUACUAAACUGCCACUGACAUUGAUGCUCGAAAGUGUGGGUAUCAAACAGGAUUAGAUACCCUUGUAGUC
rnacentral:rRNA from 1 species